GCGCUCGACCCGCAAAAAGUGCAAAAGGGUCAAAAAACCUAGCCGCCGCCCCUUCUCGUCCACCCCUCGCCCCUCCGCCUCCUCUCCUCCCCACUCCCUCCUCUCCCAGGCCGCCGCCCUCGACACACCUCCAUAGCGCCAUCGACACGUCGGGGAUAGGCAGUGGUGGAGCGCAGCCCGAGCUCAGCAGCACUCCACUCCUAACUCGAGCAAGAGCGGGCAGUGGAUUGGAUCGAGGGAGCCCUCGCGGCCACGCCGCUGGCGCCUGGAUUUCCUAGCCGUCACGUGGAUCCACCCUAGCCGCCGCCUCGAGUCACCUCCAUCGUUGAUGUGGGUCAACUCCACCGCUGCCGCCAGGAAUCCCAUCCCGGUAAGGGGGCUUGUCCUUCCGUGGUGGUCAUCCGCCGUUUGAGAUUGGAGGGAGACUAGGAGACCCUGGCGGAAUCGAGCCUGCUAGCAGAGGCUCCAAGGAUGUUGGGUGAUAGGGCCCAUUCCAUGCCCCGGUUGUGCUGCUGGGAUUUUCAGGAAGAGCCUUCCUACCCAAAAUUAUUGGAUAAAUUCAACAUAUCUGUGGAAAUCUAGUUUUCUGCAGAUUCAUACGCCUCUGAAUGUUGUUCCAUAACUGAUGACUCAAAGUGAUUAUACACUGAAACCGAAGCCUUUGGAAAAUGAAACAGAAACCUUACUUAAGAGCAGGCAGAGGCGUGGAGCCAAUGGUGAUGUUGUUGUUGCCUGCUCUUCUAAACUGCUGCUUGUUCAUCGUUUGCUGUUUUGCCUAUCAAGGUUUGUGCUUCCUCUUUAAGCUAUAUUUUCUUUUGAUUAUUGUUUUUGUCUGCAGUUUUCUUCUUAUCUGUGGCAAUGUAUUUGGAUCAUGUUUAUCUCUGAAGCAUAUUGGUUGUCUGGCUUGAUCUUUGUACUAGCAAGAAGGUAACUACUCAAAGCAGUUGGCAAGACAAGCAUUCGAUGGAGCUCAAGCGUUGAUCUUAAGGAAGGUAACUACUCAAAGGUAUGCACCUAUUCAUGUUGGAGCAGUUAAGUUUGCAAGGAUUUGCUGCUGGAGGGCAUGGUAUGUGCUCUCAAGAAGUUCUUCGUGAUCCGGUGACAUCUUUUGGCCUAUUAGGGAACUGGACAUGAUUUAUAUUGCGAAGUUCAAUGUAUGGAUGACAACUUCCUCUCAUAUCUGUUCUGUAUAUUUUAUAUACAUGGCUUUUGUGUUCUAUCAUGUGCGCUCCUGCCGCAGACUUUUGCAGAGAAAUUCACCAUGAGUUAGAAUGUAUAUAUUUUCAACUACAGCCUUUUUUUCAAAAGGCAAAAGAAUUUCUGCAUGAUCACAUGUCAUGAUUAUUUCCAUGAAAAAUGCUUUAGACAGUACAAAAAUGCUUUAGACAAUACAAAAAUGCUUUAGACUGUACAAAAUUGUAAAGGAAUCAUGGGGCACUGUUGUAUGUCGCUGCUGAACAGAAGCAGGAUGCAACCAUAAAGAUUUUGUUGAAUCACCAUUCAGAUGCAAGUCCCAUUAAAUGUCUCUUUAUCAUUAUCUUAAAUCACAUUCCUUUAUAGUUUUCUCACUGUUAUAUUUGAUAAUCUUUGAUUGUCUGCUUUCUCCAUUUUCCAGUUAGUUGAAUCUCGACAGUAAAUUAGUUAGUAUUUUGUUUUAUCUCUGAAAUCUCGAGAAGUACACAAGUUGUUAGGUGUAGAAAAGUACACAAGUUGUUAACAUUUGAAAUUAGAUUUACGUUCGCCUUUUACUCAUUCUAUUUUUUGCAUAAUUGUGUCCUGUCUGUCAAGACAUGCUGAAAAGCUAGCUGUUCUGCAGCAAGCAGAGAGUCAUGGGCUCUUUCUGCGAGUCACCUGCUUCUCAUGUACAAAUAUUUCACCAUCUAAGUUUGAAAUAAAAUUGUACAUCAAAGAUAUCAAUGAUUUGCCAAGACUCCAAAGUCUUGUUGUUAUUUUUUGUAACUUCUGAUCUUGAACUUUGAUCGACAGAUAGUUAUGACUCUUCGACAUCAGAAAAUAUUUUAGUUUAUUUUGGGGUGGAUGUUAUUGUGGUAUCAAUACGGCUUCAUUCCACUUUAUCUAGCGCGGCACAGGUCAAUAACUACUUCCUUUGAUUUCUUCAUCAUGAAUACCUAUAUGCAUUUAUUAAAAAGCCUUUAUUGUUCGUAUUGAGUGAAUAAGAACUGCAGUAGUUUCUCAAUGUGGAGGCCAUUAUAUUACGAUAUAAGAUGGACUGCUGAAGGGCGAUGUAUCCUUUUGGGGUUAAAGAUAUAAAGAACUACCUGGCUUAUGAGGUUGAAGAGAGAUCAAAUGGCUUCUUUUGGUUCUUGAAGGCCUGCACUUUCCUGGUGGAGCAGCAGCAAAAUAAUUCAGAGGCUUUAAAGCUACUCCACUUCAUGUAGUUAGGAUCAAUUCUUUGUUUUGGUUUGAAAUACUCCCCAGUCCCUCCUAUUUGAUUGAUUCAUCUAAUGGUCAUUUUGCCAGGCAAAUAAAUAGAAGGCAGAUGUUUUUUUUUUGGAGAGUAUGGCAUAUGUAUUGUUACAGAGUGAAGCCAUCCAUACAAGUCGAUAUAUUAAUAACCCCAUAUGUGGAAUUCAAGAUAUAGAGAAAUGUUCCUUGUUCUACUAAUCGGUUGCUUGACCAAAUGUACUGUAAAUGGUGUUAUUAUUGUUCAAGAUAUAGAUAAAUGUUAUUGUUCUUCAUUGUA